AAUCGGGGUUGGCGGCGAUGACAGAGGUCACCGCCAACUUCAAUUGGAGUGAUGGCCACAAUCAGGGUCCCCAUUGCCGUAAUCUAAUUCCAGGUUCCUUCUAUUUCAGCGAUGGAGGCGACAAUUACGGCCAUGGAGGUGACGAUCAGGGAGCUCAAUGUAGUUGCAUACACCACAGUAAUGGAUGGUCUCUGCAAACAAGGAGAGAGAGCCAAGGCUUACAGCCUCUUCAACAGUAUGACCUAUAGAGGCAUUCGAUACAGUCACGUACAGCUCCAUGAUCUAUGGCUUGUGUUGUUGUGCAGGACCGUGGAAAGAGGCUGUGGUUCUGCUGAUCAAGAUGGCCAGCUGAACGUGAUUUAAUUUCUUGCACCUGUUUAAUUCAUGGUUUGUGCCAUCUCCACCAGUGGAGAGAAGCCACCUUUUGGUCCCAGCAGAUGAUGAUCGAGAGCAUCGAGCCUGAUGUUGUGACUUACAACUCCUUGAUUCAUGCUCAUUGCACCGCAUGCCGAUGGGAAGAGGUUGAGGUAUUGUUAGGGUCAAAAGAAUGGAUGAGGCAGUGCAUUUGUUCCGAGAAAUGCAAGAGAAAGGCUUGAAUCCAGAUAUAGUUACUCAAAGCAGUCUUAUUGGCGGGUUCUGUCGCACAGGGAACAUUUAAGCUCCUGUAGAGCUUCUGCAUGAGAUGGAGUCAGUUGGUCAAUGUCCAGAUCUUCAAACUUAUGAGAUCUUGUUAAACGGUCUGUAUGAGACCCAUAAUCUCGAUGUGGCGAUUGGACUGCUUCGGAAAAUGGAAGAUCAGAAGAUAACCAACUCAUGGGGCGGUUGGAGUAUAACAGGAGGGACUAUAAUGAAUCCGGGUAUUUGGAGGUGUGGCCGGUGCACAUAUUAUGUCUUAUGAAACCUCAUAUUGUGAUUUACACUAUUAUCACUGCUGGCCUAUGCAAGUGUGGGAGACUUUAAAAUGCCAAGAAACUUUUUUAUGCCUUGGAAGAAAGAGGUUUGCAGCCUGAUGUUGUGGCAGUGAUAUCAGAAAUGGGGUAGCACGCAGAAACAAGCUUGAUUUUCUUUCGAGCAACAACCCUGUGACAAUUCAGUCUGUUGUGAUUGUUGUUUCUUGGAAGUUCAAAACGUGCCAUAUAUUUUAGAUAUUUGACGAGGAUGUGGAGUUGAUUGAAAAGCUAUGUUUUAGAUUGGUAGACAAGCACAAAUAAUGUAAGAGAAUCUGUGCCUGAAAGCAGAUUGAAGACAGUGGUCUCGUAGUUAACAUGGAGAGGCCGUGCUUCAGGUUUGAACAACUGUAAAACAUGGAGUUGAAAGCAGAAAAACAGGAAGAUGGAAAUGUUCACCAGGUUUCAAUGGCCAUGAUUUAUUUCCUUAACCGAAUUUAAAGAUUAUUU